rnacentral:rRNA from 1 species
GAUGAACGCUAGCGGCAGGCCUAACACAUGCAAGUCGAGGGGUAGAAGUUGCUUGCAACUUUGAGACCGGCGCACGGGUGCGUAACGCGUAUGCAAUCUACCUUGUACAGGGGGAUAGCCCAGAGAAAUUUGGAUUAAUACCCCAUAGUGUAAUGAAAUCGCAUGGUUUUAUUACUAAAGUUCCAACGGUACAAGAUGAGCAUGCGUCCUAUUAGCUAGUUGGUGUGGUAACGGCACACCAAGGCAACGAUAGGUAGGGGUCCUGAGAGGGAGAUCCCCCACACUGGUACUGAGACACGGACCAGACUCCUACGGGAGGCAGCAGUGAGGAAUAUUGGUCAAUGGGCGCAAGCCUGAACCAGCCAUGCCGCGUGCAGGAAGACGGUCCUAUGGAUUGUAAACUGCUUUUGUACGGGAAGAAACACUCAUACGUGUAGGAGCUUGACGGUACCGUAAGAAUAAGGAUCGGCUAACUCCGUGCCAGCCGCCGCGGUAA